GCAUACGCAAAUCUUUAAAUACUCUGCAUAUGAAUCAUUUUUUUCAAUUAUCUAUGAGAAAGUAUUUCAGAUCAAAUUGUCACUUGAAUGUUUAGCAAGUCAAAUUCACAGUAGUAACAGUGAUAAAUAUAUCAACUUUACAUUAAGUAUGAAAGUAUUUGGAAACAAACGAUUUAUUGUGUUACCGUGUUGCCAUUGCUACCUACUAAGAAAGUUGUUUAGUUAUUGAUUUCUUCAUUAUUCAGACAGAAGGACCAAAGCACAGCCCUGAGGAGAGAGGAACUUGUCUAAAUCUACAAGGCCAAGUAGAGGCAGCUGUCAUGCGUGGGACCAUGGUUUCCCGAUUCUCAGGGUGGAAAGCCAAUUGCCAAACUGUAAGCAGUUCUCUGGAGAGGACCACAUGGUGAUGAACAAAGCUUUGUGACAAUGCCAGCUGGAUUAACUAGGAAGCAGACCUCCAGGCCCCAACAGACCUUCAGAUGAGACUGCAAUCCUGGGUGGUAACGUGCCCACAGCCUCAAGAAGGACUGUAAGGAAGGAACGCCGGCCUGCACUGCUCCUGGACUUCCUGCUCCCAGCAGUAUGAAGUCAUAAAUCUUUGUGGUUUAUAGGUGCUAUGCUAAAUUUUGAGAGUCAAGCUGAGCAGGCUUCAUGGCAUGUUAAGGGCUGUAGAGAAUCAAGCACAGUGUGUAAGAAGUGACACUUUGGGUUUAGAGCUAGGCAGAAAGGUAAGUGAGGCCAGGUCUUCUAGGCUCUGGAGGUUCUAGGCCUUGGCAUGGAACCAGGUAUCAGUGAUGAUAUCUAGCCUCCAUGGAAUAAAGCAUAACUAGUACAGAUAGCACAGUGGGGCUAGGAGACCAUUCCCUUCCAUCCACCUGAAUCUGGACAACAUCCCAGGGUCAUUCCUCCUUCCACUGUUCUAAGAAAAACAGAAAUAAAAUAGCAAAAACCCUAGCAAUCUCUACAGCUCCAGGCCAGAGCACAAAUGUAUUAGAUCCCAUGGCCAAAUUUAAGCUUUCCCCCACUCUGACCUUAUUAAUGCAGAGGACUCUAAUACUGAUUAUGCCCUAAGCAGGCUGUGAAGAGUUAACCUCUCAAUUGGGUUAUUUUGAGAAGUGAGUCUGGCUGAAGCCUACUUGCCAAGGUCAGAGUAACUUGCACCCAAAUUCCGUUCCCACAUCUAAAACUUUCUGACUAGAAGGGCAGUGUUCUAAUUACAACCAUAUAUUUUGUCUAUUCUGUUCCUAAUUGGAGAAUGCUUUGUCUUGUCCUUUAUGAGCCUUGUUUACAUUCAUUCACAUAGAAACUGCAUGUAGCUCGCCUUUACCCCAGUUGAUUGCCAAGAACAGUCAGUGCCUGGGACUGACCAGCACCUUUGUCGGUUAUACUGGCAUUGGUUGUCCUGGCAUCCCACUUUCUCUUUCUUAGUUCUGUCUCUUAGUAUAUUUUUUCCCCGGGCCUGCAUCACACACUGGGCGGGUGGGGACUAGAGACUCACUGCAAGCGUCUCUAGCAUAUUAAAGAGUCAUAAAUAUGGACCACAUCUCAUACAUGGAAUUUAAUCACAAUGAACUCUAGGAAAGUCCAGUGCACCACUAGGAAACCCUUGAGAUGACUCAGCACCCUGUCAAUCAUCCCUGUCAAUCCUACCCAGAGUCUUAGAGCCUCCAGGCUGGGGUACACAUCUUUUUAAAUCUGAAAGCCUGGUUUAUCUGUGUGCAGUGCCUUUUCCUUUGUGGUCAUCCUGACACCACUUGUCUUUUCGUGCCACAAUUUUAUUUUUGGUGCCGGGGAUUGAACUUGGGACUUGGGACCUUGCGCUUGCGAGGCAGGCAGUGGAACCAUCAUGCCACAUUUUUGUUGGCACAGAACUUCCCCAAGCACAGCUUCCCAUGAUGGUCAAUAAGUGUAGCUGUUUUGUAUGUUACUCUUAGGAGUAUGCUUUACAAUUCUUUGUACACAAGAGCUUGGAAUUUAUCUGUUGGAUCCAUUCCAUGGUAUCAUUUGUUGAGCGAGCUUGGAGACAACAGACAACACCAGACAUCAACAGCCAGAAGCCCAGCCAGAAUCCCAGCUAGAAAGGAAGGUAACUCCCUGUCUGGGGAGAUUUUCUUCUCCUUUUCAUAAGUGAUCAAUGGUGUUUAUUGUCAACACGGGGAUACAAGAUGACUAAACUGUGGAGUGAAGGGCUUUGACCUUUGCGGGGGCAAGAGCAUUCCUUCUGAUCAAUUGGGGUUGUGUUUUGCUGUUGGUCUUUGUAGCAUGGAGAUUCCCUUCUAGUAGCCAUGAUUUCCCAUGUCUUGAGGGAGCUGGCAAGGUUCAUGGCUCUUGUGGGCAGUGGGGAACUGGGGUUGUGAUGCUUUAACCUGAACAGAGUCCUCUCAGUGGCUUCCUUGAAGUUUCCCAUGGGUCUGGGUCCACCUGAUAUUAUCAGUUUGCUUCAGGGAUUACAGUAGGCAGCAUGCCCUGGAUCAUGUAGAUUUGAGUGACUACUUUGGUAACACCAACUUUGUGGGGUGCCCUCCUAUGGCUUGCUUUCCUUUCUUCUCUCUCAUGAGGAAACUCCAGUCCCCUUCUUGUUUCUGAUGCUUUUGUUUAUUAGAGAAUUCAAAUUCUUUGGCUUUUUGAUGCUGGUCAACUGAGGGGAAACAGAGUUGAAAAGUAUAGCACUACCCUAAUGGUUCCUUGUGUGGGGAACAAAAAGAAAAACCUGUGUGUUUUAAGUGUUCACACCAACAGAGGCUACAGUGGCAGCUGUGAAAAACAGCAGUGGAGACUGUAAUUCUUCUGGGUCUUACAGCUGAUUUAUAGCUGUCUCCUGGGAUUCCUUCUCUAAUGCUGGUUUUCUCUCUCCAUUAUACUCAGUUUUGCUUUUGUUGUGAUAGGAUUGUAACCUGUGUUUGAUGACUGAAUUUUCACUGUGCCUAGCUUUUCAUUGUAAAGUUUUGUCACCCCAUGCAUAUCAUUUUGUGGCUUGAUCUAGCAGAAAUGUAAAAAAUUGUCAGUGUCUUUGGGGUCUCUCAGGGGCGAGGGACUAUUAUCUCUCUUUAGACAGACAUCCCAAGUCUCUUUAUCAUUGGCUUGAGAUGCCCAGCCAGGAGAGCACCCCAGCUCUGGACUCCAUGUCCAGAAGAUGGGUUAUGUUCAUAGAAGGAGAUAAAGUUAAAAAAAAAAAAGUGGUGCUGCCACCCACAUAAGACCAGAUACUUCUGGUCUGCGAGGAGUUUAGCUUUAUCAGGGGACACUCUGAACUGGAACUGGACAGGGAAUUCAGCCCCACCAGGUCACAGCCCUGGGGCUGAAAGUCUUGAGGUGCCCUACCAGGAGGUUCCCUGUAGUGUCCCCUCAAAUGGGUCAGGGAUGAACCUAGGGCUAGGCCUGUUGGGUUUUGUGGGCAGGAAGAGGUGUAGGAAACCUAUUUUGAGGGAUACGCCAUCCAUCCCAUCUGUCUCCCUGUUUCCAAACUUUUUUUUUUGGUACUGGGAAUCGAACUUGGGACCCUGUGCUUGUGAGGCAGGUGGCAGCACCACUGAGCUAAAUCCCUGGCCCUGUCUCCCUGUUUAAAUGCCUUCUCAGAUGGAUAUUCAGUGGUACAAAAAAAUUGGGUAGAUUUUCUGAGGAUUUGGAAAAGUUUGCUGAUGUUUUCUGUACCCUCACAAUGGCUUUUGAUCUGACCUGGAGAGAUGUCCUGUUCAUCCUGGUUGCUUGCUGCACAUCAGUAAAAUAAGCUCAGGUUUAUGAGUGAAGGCUCCAAUAAGAAUCCAGCUGCUUUCCAACUUUGGUUAAAAAGCACUCUGUAAAUAGAUCCAGAGUCCAAGGAAGAUCAGAUUAUCUAGGACAGUAUUUUAUUAGUCAGUUCCAGAUAUUAAGAGAAGGCUCCAGAAACUCCAAGAGGGCCCACAGCUGGCCCAAUUGGCUUAUUUGGUCUGCAGUAAUUCUAAGAAACUAAAGUUAAAUUUUUUUAAAAAGCAGGCUUAAGCCAUGCUCUCCUUAAUGAGUAUAAAGCCCACAGCCCUAAGGAAAACUGAAGUGAUCCAAAGAUUGAUAAAAGCAAAUCAGAGGGCUUUAAACACAAGGUACAGGGGCACUGAACAAAAGAAUGCCCUCUAUGGCUGUCCAACCCUUGUUGGGCCUAUCAGGAUACGAAAGAUCCUUGGUAUUAGAGGAGAGACUACCCUUGUUCCCAGAGAGGGAUGAGAUCAGCCAUCACCAUAGUCGCCAGGGAAAAGUGCUCAAAUAGCAAAUGAUGGUUCCUGAAGAGGCUUGCAUGGCCCCCGCACAAAGAUAUCCUCAUCACCUUCAGGAGCCUUGGGUGACCCUAGAUGUAGCAGGCAAGCCACUGUGAUACUGGGGCAUCUUACUUGAUUCUAAUUUCUUACUGGGGUGAGCUUUCAUCCCAUUUCAAAGUUGUUUGGGCCUUGAAGGAAUUAGCUUGUCAGCUUUCUUUAACCCCACUCUAAACUGCCAUUUGGAAGAUUUCCUUUUCCAAGAUGCCUUUAUGGUGAUACUGGAGUGCCCUAUACCAAUAAUUAGAAGAGAUAUACUCUUUAUGCUCAGAGCCACUCUGUCAUUCAAACCUCUGGGAAUCUGUGACCUAGUUGUUAGGGACCCAGCCAACCUAACCCCAUGGAACCCAAUUUCUCUGCAUUGAGCUAAACCCUAAGCAUAGUAUGAUGGCACCUUGGGGAGGGCUGUGAUGGACAUUCUAGUAGUCAUUUAGCUGAAGGACCUAAUUUAUUUCCUCACAGAAGACAGAUUUAAGGAAAAGAGCUAAAGCCUAUUAUUGAUAAAGUUUUGGCUACAGGGUUGCUGGCGCUAUGACAGUCUCCAUGCAAAUCACCCAUUUUACUAGUAGUCAAGCCAUUAGGACAGUAUCACCUCGUGCAAGAUCUCAGAGCCAUCAAAGAGACACUGGCACCUAUUCUCUCAUUAGUAGCAGACCCAUACACCCUUUUAGCACAGAUCCCAGGAGACACUAAAUGGUUCUCUGUUCUUGAUCUCAAGUUUGCCUUCUGUUUUUAUCCCUGGGGAUGCUAACUCCCAAUACUAGUUUGCUUUUGAAUGAGAAGAUCCCUGAACAAGACUUCACCAACAGUAUAUUUGGACUAUCUUGCCUCAGAGUUUUAGAGAUAAUCCGUCUUGUUUGCACAGGCUUUAGCUCAAGAUCAGAGAGGUUUAAAGUUCAGAAGGAGAAGCCCACUACAGUAUUCAGAUUACCUCUUCAUUUAUAGCCCCACUAAGGAGUUAUCUGAUAAAAACUCUAUCAAGACUCUCAAUUUUAUUAAAAAAAGGGGGGGGUUACAAGGUAUCCUACAAAAAGGGGUUAUAAGGCCCAGAGUUUUCAACAAAAUGUGACAUAUCUGGAAUACAUUUUAACACCAGGACAAAGACAACUGUUCUCAAGGAGAACAGGCAACUCUAUCUGUGUCCUCUAGAAUCUAAAUAGUAGCCAAGAGCUUUCUUGGAAAUGGUGGGCUUCUGCUGUAUAAGUAGAAACUCCAUUUUAGAGUAACAGUCAGACGCCUAUAUGAGACAACCUGAGGACCAAAAACUGAAUCCUUGAAAUGAACAGCAGCCACUCAAGAAGACUUUGCCACCUUUAAAUGGGCUCUCAUGCAGUCCCCAGCUUUAAGAAUCUCUGACCUAACUAAGCCCUUUUCUCUCUCCAUAGCUGAAAAACAUGGGGUAUCCCUGGAAGUGCUAACUCAGUGUCCAGGCCAGGAAAACUGAACUGUUGCAAUGACACUAUGACGGUCUUAGACACGAUGACAGUCUUAGUCCAGGAAGCUUCUAAAAUAAUCCCGGGACAAAAGCUCUUUGUUCUAACCCAACAUCAGGUCAGAACUCAAGGGACAUUAGUAGAUGACUAGAGAAAAGCUCACUAAAUAUCAGGCCAUCCUUAUUAAAAACCCAGACAUCUCUCUUCAGUCUUCAAACCAUUGUAAAUCCAGCAUCCCCCCUGCCCAACUAACCAACAGGUAGAACAAGAAUGUAAACAAACCAUUACACAAAAUUAUGGCACCUGCCCUGACCUGAAGGAUCAACCAUUGACAGGGAUGGCUAGCACAUGUUUCACUGAUGGCAACCAUUUCAUAAAAGAUGGAGUUAAGAAGACAGAUUAUUCCAUAGCCUUACCCAGGUCACUGAAGCAAGAAGACAUCUUCCCUUCUGGGACUUCUACCCAAAAGGUAGAAUAUAUUGUCUUUACUUGGGAUCUUCAACUUGCCUUGGGCAAGAGUGUUGACAUAUGUACUGACUCUAAAUAUGCCUUUCUGGUCUUACAUGUGCAUACAGCCAUCUCAAAAGAGGAUGGCCCAAAUGAAAAGACCCUCAUACAACCCUUCUAAACACUCUUUCAGUCAUUAAGGUACAGGAAAUUGUUAAUAUUCACCUCUCCAAGAUGAAACCCAAGCUACCCAAGACACCAGAAAGCAAAGAGACCACAAAUCUCAUAAACUGUUAAACAGUGGACAACCACAAGUUUCUUUUGGGAAAGGAAAACAACAACCAACCUGUUGAACCAGAUGUUAAGCUACUAAUGAUGGCCCAAGCCCAAGAUCAAAACCUGCCUACACAACUAAGGCUCAUCCGAAACCAUGAGAUCAGACAGAGUGAGGGUUCCUUGGUCUCCACAUAGGCAGGCCCAGAGCACCCAUCCAGCAAGAAGUGGCCAUGGAAUCCUUCCUCCUUCUGCAACUCUUAAAGAUUUUGGGAAUCUGUUCUCCCAGGGAAUGAUAGCACAGGUAGCACAAUGGAGGCUGCAAGACCAAUUCCUUACAUCCACUUGAAUUUGGACAACACCCCUAGCUUGUAUCCAUCCACACAGUUAAACUGAUAUAGUUGUGGUCAAAAUGCACACAUCAUUUGGGAAAAAGCCCAUGGGUAGUUUGAAAUAAACUGCUGGGAGCUCCAAAGCAGUAUUCGCAUCUCCUAAACAUGGCUGCAAGUGGACUGCAGAAUUCCUUCCUGUGACACAAAGACAAGGGGGCAUGGGGCACAGUUCACAUCAGCUGUCCCCUUUGAAGAAACUGGUGAAAACUCAUCCAGUGGCACCUAGGCAAGUCCGUUUCUUUUAUUGUUCUAUUUCCUUCUCUUUUAAAAUAUUGUAGAAGCCUGCGGGCUAAACAGCUAACAUUUAUGUGGAAAAUGAAGUACUUGAAUUGCCAAAUGUAACAGGCAAGACAGCAGGACCUCCUCUGCCACACAAGCCUCCUGUCCCUCACAAGCCAGGUUCCAUUUGACAGUGCUGCUUGGAUAACCACCCAUUCAAUUUCAAAAUCAAUUCCACAGCAGAGAGAGAGAGAGAGAGCUAUUUCUCUCUAAGUGUGGUACAUCUGACAUAUUAAAGAUGAUGCUCCCAAUCAGAAGGGACUAUGAACAAUCUCAACCAUGCUGAAGAGCAUCACUUUUUAACACUGUGGCAAAUACUGAAGAUUUCAGCCAUAGGGCAGGCUCUGGUUCAAGGUCUCAAUAUCUACGUUAUUUUAGCCCCCAAAUCAUGAAUUGAUUGAUUUUUCAUUUUAUAAGAGAUUGGAGUUUAUUACCAAUUGCGGAGAGAUUCAGAUGAAAUUAAAUUAAAGCCAUCCCUGUACAGAUGCUUUAGAAGGGAAAACUUGGAGUCUGACGUGCUUUACCACAGUCACAACCAGGAUCAGGCAGCUGAGCAAGUACAGCCUGAAAAUGUCUCAGGAAGUGAAAUUUAGGUCAUUUUUAUUCAUCAUGUUAUGCAGAGUCAUAGACCUCAGGAAAAAAAAAAAAGCUAAUAAAACAUAAUGCUCAGUGUAAUGGUCUCCCCUCAUUCAGCUCCAUAAUGGUAAAUGAAAUAGUGUUAGCAUAAGGCAAGCUCGAUUCUUGUAGCUGGUGAAGCCUAGGGUUAUGACAGAAUUAGAAUGCAGAGAACUGAUUGUUCACAGUUCAGAGAAAAAAUAUCACACAUUUCCUAAACCUACCCUGACACCCCUACUCUGGUAGAGAAAUCUGAACUUUGAGGAGGGCCAAGGUCCCCAACAUGCAAAUGCAGAGUACCCAGACCUGCCUAGACUUCAAGGCUGAAAGGGGUUUUACAAAGUCGCCUUUGAGAAAGGAAGGCAAAGGCUCCUUUGUCCUAACUUUGUAGCAACUCCUUUGUGUUAAGCAACCACCAUGGGCCAGGUCCUCUGCUAGCCCCUGGGAAUAUAGCUAGAAAGAAGAGGAACAUGAUCCCAGCUCUCAGGAACUUACAUUCCAGUAAGGAAUAUGUGAUUGCUAGAAAAUUCGUCAAGGCAAGUUGGUAGCAAAGGCAUUUUUCACUAACUGGAAUUGCUAGCAGGGUAAUGAAGGGGCUGAGUUGCCAGAUUUAGCAAGCAAAUGAAAACAUAAGCUGACCAGUUAUAUUUGAAUUUCAGAGAAAUCACAUUUUUAGUAUAAGUAUGUCUUCAAAAGUCCAUGGGCUAUACUUGUACUAAAAAUGAUUCAUUUUUAAUCUGAACUUCAAGUUUAACUGAGCAUCUUGUAUUUCAUCUGAUAACCUAAGGAGUCAUGGAUGAGGGCAAUAAAAAGCAGAAUUAUCAGGGAAAAUCUCUUUAAUACCUUUUCAUGUUGAGAAUAAAGUGCUUUUUAAAUAUGUAGUAAUAACAAAGAGAAAAUAUUCUGUAUAGGACCUGUUCUGUCAGACACUACUCAGGGACUAUAUUAUCUCUCUGUCUGUAUGUAUAUCUGUAUGUAUGUCUGUAAUCUCAAUAGUCCUGUAGGUAGGUUCUAUUAUGACAUUCACUUGACAGAUAGGGAAACUGAGGCACAGAGAGGUUAAGUAAGUUACCCAGUAAGUCACCAGUAAGCAAGUAGUAAAGAGUUUGUGAUCAGAACCACUAUGAAGUGUCCACUAGCAGAAGAAAUUCAUUUUACCAAAAUCAAGGAAGCUUUUUGUGCAACAGGCUGUUAUCCCCUCAGCUGAUGAAGACACUGUCCUUUGCCCUCUCAGUACGGUUUUCCUGCCCUCUUUGUUAGUGUCUUAUAGCCACUUGGAGAAACCUAUCUUAGUCUCUUGAAGUCUGUGUCAUUGCUUCUGGCUUACCCUCAUGGGGUGGAGCCAGUGUCUGCCUCACCAGGAGUCACCAGGGGUGACAGGGUCCUACGAAAGGCAGGAAGGUCUCAGCUCCUAGAACCCACCAGGGGAUUAGCACCUAAAGGCUGGGUGUUUCCAUUUGGAUUGCAUUUGAUGGCAUACUCAACUUGGAAGUGAUCUCAGCAUUCUCAGACAAGGUACUUUAAUUACAGCUUCUUUAAUUCCAGUGAGAGCUCCACUUGGAAACAGAGAUGUGAGAAAGAUACAGAUUGGCUUGCUCUGAUCCAUAGGUGCGGCUUGGAAAAUGAGUGAUCAAGAAUGGGUCAUUGCUUACUCAAUGAGCCCCCAAAAGGACACUGUGGUUUGAUUCUUAGGGGAAGACUUUCAAGGGAGGGGGUGACUAACAAUCUCUGCAGCAUGAUUUCCCGAAGCUGGGUGGCUUGCCCAAUUUAGGGAACGUAGGGGUGCCCUGGGAGGUCAGUGCUGGCGUGGACUCAGCUUCCCAUCCUUGUAGCUUGAAAGAUGGACCUGUUUGGAGCAACUUGCUCAGUUGGCCUGAAAAAGCAGACCUGCACGUUGUAUAGAUUGUGUAAAUCAUUCACUGACCUCUUCCACCCCUCGAGCUGUACAAAUCCAAUUCAGAGCAUCUGAAUGGGCUUCUGAUGGAGCCUUCCUAGUUCAUGCAGAUCCUUUGACAGGUUUUCUGCAUUUGUUUAACGAGGCUUCUCUCUUCCCUCUGCUGCUAGGCUACAAAUUGUAUUGUGAAACUGGGUCACUUUUUUUUUUCAGGGGGAGGGGGUUAAAUGUUAUUAAACAGCAUCUUUAAAUCCCCUUUGCAUCAUUUUACAAGAUGACUUUGGGCCAGCCGUGAUUUUUUGGGGGGUUGCCUUUUAAAAAUAUUUUAUUGGGAAGAUAAAACAAAAUUUUAUAGCAAAAUAAUAAGAGAAUAACAAUAGUUAAUGCACUGUAUGAUAAUCUUAAAAGUAGUUAUAUGGAGUACAAAACAUAGACAAAAAAGGACUUACAAAAAGAAACAAACAGAUAAUGGCACAAAACUUUCCCUUCAGUGAACUAAGAGAAACUAGUAGUAUAAAUGAACUAGCAUAUAGAUUAAAAUUUUUUUAAACAAUGGAAUAGGUAAUUUGGGGAACCAUCUGAACUUCUCCCUACUUCCUAUUUAUCUAUCUUCCAUUUUGCUUCUCACUUGCAUUUACACUCUUUGAGUUUCUCAUAAAAGAGAAACCAUGUGAUAUUUGAGUUUGUCUGACUUCACUUAACAUUAUGUUGUCAAGCUGUACCCAUUUACCUAGGAAUGCAUCAAGUUUAUCUGCCAUGCUUUUUUCCCCCUCAGUGGCCUUAAGGCCGGGAGUCAGUUACUUUUAAAUUUCCACUGGAGAAAAUAAAUCGUCCCAUAGCCCUGGCUCCUCCUUCCCCCUGGCUCUUUAAAUGUACCAUCUUCUCGAAAAUAAAAUUGCUUUGGAGUACCUUGGAGGCUUUUCUACCUGUUACUAUGAUUGUAAUAUCAAUGAUGAAAAACACUUAACUGCAGCACCUGGCACUGUUGUAUAAGUGAUGUCACUUGAUACUCACUGUCAGCUCUGAAAGGUUGACAAGGCAGCUAUCGCUGCUCUUACAGCUGAGCAUAGAGAAGGGAAAACAUGGCCAUGCCAUCUACCUGCCAAGGGUCAGCAUUUGUAUGAUCAGGCGCUAUUCCCUGCUUCUGUCAACAGCACAAAGUUAUUCCACAGCCCCAGUGUGUGCAUCAAGCCAAGGCCCAGAGAAGACCUCCAGCUGAUCUUGUUUCAUUUCCAAAUAUGUGUAUGGGGUUAGGACUUGGGCCAAUUUAAAUGAACAAGUACUUAUGUGGCUCUCCUGUAUAUUUCCACAGAUGGACAGAAUGAAGCAGUGUGGCAGGCAUACCUUCCUGGGGGUUUAGGUCUAGACUAACUUCAUUCAAAUCACAGCUGCUCCUACCUAAAUAUUCAAAACCUCAAGAUUAAAUGAGAUAAUGUGAAGAGGUCAGCACCUUGAAAAUGCUAAAUUAGUGAUAGAGUGUCCAUCAUUUCUACAAUCUAUUAGCAUUCUUUAUGAGCUAAGUAGUAAUCUUGUCUCCAUGUUAUAGUUUGGUAAACUGAGGCACAUAUAGAUUGGCAAGCUGAGUUGACUGGCUAACAGUUACACUACUGCAGUCUGCACCCAGGUCUCUGGCUCCACAUAGAUCUUAUGUUCUAGAUCAUAACCAUAAGUUAUUUUUUAUAAUGGAGACAGGAACUCUGUCCUCCAGCUGCUUACUGAAGCUACACUGUGGCUUGAGCUUUGGAUUAAGGGCUGGGAGCUCAGCCUUGCCACACACUGCCUAUGCCUCCUAGAAAGUCACAACCUCCAUUUCCUGUAUUGCAGAAGGAGAGGUCUAGUUGUCUAUAAGGUCUUAUCCUGCACUAAUUUGGCCCCCGGGACUUUCUGGGGAGAAAUGGGACUAUUUUCCUCAUUUUUCAUACAAAGCUGGUAUGAACUCUAUGCUUUCUGUAAAUGUUUGAAGGGGAUGAAUAAAAUGGGGGAGAGUGGAGACAUUCUUCACGGAGAAGGUAACAUUUGAAGGGGGCUUUGGAGGACGUCAUGACGGUCAGGGAUUGAUGCUUUUUAGGCCUCUCUCACCACGGAAUUCAUGUCCUGGAAGGGCCAUUGAGGCGCAUCACAGGGACACUUCAUGCUCUAAGUGUGGGAGGUAGAAGGUCCACCCUGCAUCACUGUUUCUCCUGUUGGGAUUCUGGAGAACUCUGCCAACCCAGUCCUAUCUGGACACAUGAGUAUAUGCCACUGAUCCCGACGUAGGUCUUGCUGCUCCAACUUAGCCUUUGCUGAGAUAGCCGGCUUUUGUCCAGAUCAGACCAAAAUACAGGGAGACUGAGGGACCCCUGAUGUAAAGUUAAGGAUGUCCCAGAAGCCCGGAGCACGUGGCUUUGUUUAUUCCACACCAGCAGAAAGUAUACAGUUUCUAAUCCACUGUGGCUUCCUGCUGAGAGCCGUGUCCCCUCUGAGGCCAGUUCACUUUGCUUCCCAUUUUUGUUACAUCUGAGAAGGUAAGUGUCCUAUUCAAUUCCACUUGUCCAAACUUAGAUCCACCCCUGAAUUCUCCCUCCUAAUUAUUGCAAGAGGCUCUUCAAAUCUUUUUCAUAUCAGACAUUCUAUAGACUAAUGAAUAUUCGGCAGAGACAUUCCUAUCUACCAAGUGCAAGCAGAUGCUGCUAUGAUGAAUAGAAAACAAGGUUAUUUGAAAGUAGACCCGAAUAAAGAGUCCUUUUCAUUAUUAUCUGUUUUCUUCGGUGGUGGACCCUGAAAUCUCACUCUCUUGGGGACUUUGACAUUAAAAUCUGGUUGCUGUGCCUCAGACUGAGAAUCACAGGCUCAGGGACUUCUCUCUCACGUGUGCUACCUGGCCAAGGAGCUGAUAUCUUUUGGGAGAAUCACAGGGGUCUUUGAGAAAAUGACAAAAGAUAAUUGUUCUCUUGACUCCCCAAAAGGCAUCUACAAACACAGCUUUGUAUGCAACUUCAGGUAAUACACAGAUGCCCCAUCUGGAUCCUAAAAUUUAUUUUCAGAUGGGAAUUUGAGUCACAGGCCCAAACUGAAUCUGAGUCAUUCCUUGGUUGACUGGUCUGAGGAUCAGGUUCAGCAUCCUCAUCUAUGUGUCUGAGUAGGGGUUAAAUGAGAUAACCCAAGGAAGGGCUGAUGCCCCUUCCCUGCACAGUGUGCCCCAGCCCAGCACCUGGACAGCUAGAUAAGGAAACAACUAAAUAAGCAAAAAGUCUACCACCAAAGAACAGAGACUGCCCAUCCCUAAAAGAGCUUUCACCCUCUGACUAAGUGCUGUUUAAAUGCACAUUUUACAUGCUUUUCAUUAGCCUCAAUAGCAACCACUUUUCUGUGGCCUUGAUUGCCCAAGGAGGGCUAUGGCAGUGACUUGUAAAUGUUAAUGGCACCUUUGACCAGCUCUCCUGUGGCUGAUUGCUGGUGCAGACCGAAGAACCAGCAGGCUCCCAUUUGGCUCUUCAUCUCUGACCUGAGGCCUCCAGCCCUGCUUGCUCCUCCUGCAGGAGGCUGCACUUUGCAAGGGAUGUGGGGAAAAGCCCUCAACCCUUGCAGGGCCUAGGGGCUUUAAUGCCAUGUUAUUCAAACUCGGUCUGUGGACAGCAGCAGAGAGAAUGAAGGCUGACUAGAAAUGCAGCUUGGGCCCCACUCAGACUUACUGAGGUGGAAACUGCAUUUUCACAAGACUGCUGUGGUAAUUCUUAUACACAUUAACACUUUGGGAAGCCUUGCUAAAACAACCAAAGGUGCUAAUUAUGCUUGUACUGAAGAACUUCUAGUGCCCAUGGGAAAAAUUUAACCUUGGAAAUAAGGCAGCAGGAAUGAUAAGCUUCAACAAGUUUCCCUUUUUGCCCACAAUCGAGAGCGCUCACAGAGUGCCCUGGUGGACAUGGGACUGACUGCCAAAGUGCUUUUAUUGCAGUUCUAGAUUCCUUGCUGAAAUCCGUCUCACCUCUAUUUACCUGGACAACGUCUAAGAAGAAAACAGGUGUGAGUUUGAGUCUUGGUUUUGCCAUUCAUGCUUUCCAUAACCUUAUGUAAAAUUGUUAUCCAAGUCUCAAGAUUCUCACCUGGAAAAUGGGAAUAACAAUGAACAAUCAUCUCAGAACUGUGGAAGAAAUGGAAUUCUACACGUAGGACACUUAAUCGAGUCACCCGCUCUCUGACUGAGACUUUUAGGACCCAUUGGAAUUGGAAAGCAAUUGUGUUGCCCUUCAUGAAGGUUCUCUAUUACAUAAAGAAAAACUAAGUAAUGAUCAUUCUGGAAAGAACCUUCCACCCCAGACUCCAUCUGGGGACAUGGAUGAAGUUUAAUGACAGUCAUGGCACGUGCAGUACAGGAGACACAGGAAGCACCACGAGAGAUGGGCACUGCCUGGUGGGCAUUAACGUGACCCACAGAUUUCCUUGGGCACCUAUGUCCAUUCACAUCUCUCUACAUGGGGCCCUUUAGCUCCACUCCUUCCUUCCAUGCUCAGAGAAGCCAGCCAGGACUAUACACCCACUUUAAGCCACUGAAAUGGGAGCUUAUCCAGGUUCCCAUAUGCAAGAGUUCUUGUAGGAAUGGAAUUUCUGGGUUGUUUUUCCCCUAUUUUCUGACUCUCUACAGGAUGAGACCUCUUCUCUGAGAGGCUAAUUGCUGCUGCUUCUCAGAGUGGAUGAACGAAGUUGGUUUAAUGGACAACCUGGAAGGAACUUUGUUGAUGUUGAAUUUUGUAAGUUUCUAUUAAAACUGGCCUUGGCAGGAAGAAUUAAAAUAGAAGGGUAAGCCAUCCACAAAUUUCAUUCCUGAAUAAGAAGAAAGCUUUCUGAGGAUGGAUUCUGAAAGAAGUCAUUCUUCAAAGCGGAUGGAAGGAAUCUAAGUCAGCGCGGUGUCGUGAAAGAACAUUGGGCUACAAAUCUCUUCAAAGCUGAGACCAAGUGAACUUCCAAGUGGCAGCAGUGAUAAGGAAGAGCAAUGUCCCCCUCAGGUGUGAGUUAGGGGGACACACAGCACCUUGCCUCAUACCAGUCACUGUAAAACAGGCUCAGAGUCCUGCCUGUUCCCGGCUCUGCCACUGCCAAGUCCCAGAACCUUGAAUGCCUUAUUGGUGUGCCUAUAUGGCAGCCUCAUCUGUGGAAUCCCAUCCAUAGAAGCACAGCAAAGAGCUGGUGCCAAAGUUUACAGAGGAAAUGAAGCUCGUAGGCAUCUCAAAGUGAUGAUCAUUGGGAGGAAGCAGGGUGAACAGGGGGUGGGGGCAAAAGAAGAAUGUAUUUCUGGCUGAUGUCAGUACAGGCUGUGAGGCCCAAUCAGGAGCAGAUUUAUAUACUGCAUCAACCUGAUUCCUCACUGUGGGGCUCCAGACCAAGACGGACAAAGUCAAGGUUCCAACCCAAUGCCUAAAUGGCAGACCCCAGAAUCCAUCAUUCCCCACAUCUGAGGCAGAGAUUUCUGGUUCAGCAGUGGUAGCCAGCUGCAGGGUUCAGACAGCUCUGAGACAACUUAAGCUAAACUCAUUCCUGUAGCCGGGCAUUAGGAAAGAGUUCACACCAAUUGAUGGGCUACAGAGAGAGAUCCUCUGGCAGAACAAAGUGGGAUCUUGGGGGCUUGGCAGGCCAUAUGGAACAUUUUGCAGCCAUGAUCUGAUUCAAACAGAGCUGCAAAGGUUUCCUGUUGGUAAGGUUCUUGCCAACAAUGAGAAAUAAGCCUGGCUGCCUUGUUGCCUGUGCUCUGUGCAGCAAUACAUCCUAGCUGAGGUGCAGGGUUGAGGAGCUCUGAAGUCCCCAUUGUCCUUGCAGGGAGAUGUCCAAAAUCCUUUCCUUUUAUUGGAAUUGUGUUCCUGGAGUCUCAUAGUAGGUGAUAAUCACUGACCAGGUUAGUGGUCAAGAGACAAGUUAGCUCAGAGCGUUCUACCCUCACCCCCCAAAGCUCAGAGGCUGAGUCAGAAAAGCCACUCUUGGUCUUAUAAUAUUUUGGAAGCUUCAUGGAUAAAUACAGUUGCUCUUUAGAGGUUUGCCCAAUUUGGAAUAAGCAACAGAGCAGCUCAGCUUUCAAAGAGCAGCGAAGGCCUCACAGCGAAGGCUCUCUGGAGGGUGGCUGAGCAACAGUGACAGCCCCAGUAUGGAGCCCGGUCACAGGGAUCCAAACCCCAGCUUCCCGUUGCUUCUAUUGGACAGGUGCUCUGCUUAGCAUGAGGAGCUUCUCCUUCAGAGCUUUCUGCAGCUACUGCAGAAAGAUGGGGGAAUGCUUCCUUUAUCGGACGGUUCAAUUAAGCUUACAGAAGACUAACAGGAAAAAUGUGUUCAGUGAGAGAGGAUGCGCUAAUGCUUUGCUUCAACAUUUUUGGUCUUCAGUUCUCCUCCAUGAGGUAUCUCCUGUGUCCCCAGGGCUCGUAGACUUGACUCCCCCAGUCCAGAAUUAUCCUUCCCUAAACUGCCCCACUCUAUGAGCCAACGUUGAGGGCCUCAGUGCCCAAAUUCCUAGACCCCCUCCUUUCAGGAAAUGGCCUUCCUAUGCUGCUCUAAGGCCUGUCCCAUGAGAGUGGGUAGAAUCCCAGCUCUGUCACUUCCUGACCAUGUGUCUCAGGGAAGUCACUCAGUGGUAAAGCGGAAGACUCCUGGUGGUUCUGUUGUUGAGAGGAUUCAGUGAGCUUUUCUAGGGAGAAAAUGAGAGGAGAGGAGGAGGAGGAGGGGAUGAAAGAGGGAAGAGAGGAGAAAGAGGACAAGCCAAGUACAGCAUCUAAGUACUUUGGGGCAGUAAGUAUUUGAUGAGAGGGAGCCCUUAUUAUUCGGACUAGAAAAUGCACCUGAGCACAAACAUAAAUUUCUCAAAGGUUUUAACUAAUUUCAGUAUAAUUCUAGGUUAAAAAUCCUGACCACACAUCAUCAGGACUAAGGACUUUAUUCUUUAGAUGAGAAAAGUGAAACUCAGACCCCAAAGAAGCAACUUCUCUCAGGCACAGAGCCAGGGCUGGGAACUCCUGACUCCCAGUGACCUUUGUCCCGGGCUGUUUACCGUAGGAGGAGUCAAACAGACCUCCUGAUGUCACCUACCAUCUGCUAAAUGAGAGUGGUUGGCAAGAGCCCUCCUUACACUGCAGGGAAGAGAAAAUUGCUCAAUUCAUUUCCUUGUAGACAGUGGUGAAAUCUCAUUCAGGAGAAAAACGGGAGUGUGCGGAUGAUCAAUCUGAUGCCACUGUGAUGUACCAGAGCAUUCCUCACAGAGGAUGGACUUACUGUAAUGAGCUUCGAGGUCCUUUGGGCUGCAGUUCUGUCUGUCCAUUCAGGCUGCUCCCAACCAUCUCCACUGGCACUCUACCCUUGAGGGCUGACUCGUGAGGAGCGCCCCAACAGGCUUUCUGUGUCUCUGCCUUCUGGUUUGGUUCAGCCAGCGAGGAUCCUGGCAGGAAAUCAGAGGGAGCGAGGCAUAAGAUAAUGGGGAGUUACUUCCUCCGCUUCCCUCCCUUGUGAGGUCCCCUCCAGCUACUGAUAGUCUUUCACACAGAGUCACUGUGGCUCACAGGGUGGUCUGCUUCAACUGACUCUUUCAACAUUCACAUAUCACCCAUCUCCCCGUCCAUUCUUGGCGUAGGGAUGUCUCUAUUCUUAUUAACCCUCCUUGGGGUAUUGUGCUGUCCCCUUAUGAUUUUCCUUCAGCCUGUCCACAACUCUGUAAACAAUUCCUUUGUAAAUAAACUAUUCUUGA